AGCAAACAAACAAAACCAGCUGAAAAUCAAGUAAUUAAAUGUGAGAUAUUUUUGAAGUAUGACUUCUAAUUUCUUGUACUUCAGCAUCCCCACCUGUAGAGGGACUGUCUCAACUGGAUGUUGAGAAGUUUUGUUGGUAAGCUGGAAGGACAUCAUUAGUACUGCUCUCAAUUUGUUCUAUAAAAACUCAGGAGAGGAACAAUCCAUGGUGAUUCCUUUUCCCUAGCACAGCUAUCUCCGCGAUGCUCUGUCAGCUGAAUUUCUGUUGCCCUUCAAUGGACUUGCUUCUAAAUCUCACAGAUACUGAGGUCUAUGCAGCUCUGAAUCUCCGUGCCAGUUAUCUGCGAGGGGUGACUGUGCAAACCUUGUCAGCAUAACCCUAAAGGAUCUGUACUUUCUGCUAAGAGAUCCUGUGGAAAUGAUGAACGCAUGCCUUCACAGUACUUCUCCAUCCUGUUAUGCUCAUCCAUAAGCAUAUCUGCAAUAAUUGAGGAGGAUGUUUUAGCUGGGGGGCCUCUACUCAAAUAUACAUAAUUGGGACUCUCUGCAGGGAGCCUUUGCUUGCAUUUUGGUGGCUAGAAUAGCCUAAAUAUCAAUGCUCUGAAAUUUACAAGCUAAAGAAGGAAACUUCAUGGGGAAAUUUUUCCAAUUUUAGGUCUCCAAAUUGCCUGAUGGGCUGUAGAUUGAUUUCUGUACCAAAGGUACAUUUGCUCAUUUACAACCAUUCUCAGCAUUUUCAAAAAGGAAUGCCUAAAGCUUUUGGGAAGAAUAUUCAGCUUUUUGGGGAAGUGUCUGAAAUAUUUAGCAGAUCCUCAGAUGCGGAGUUUUUUGGUAACUUUGAAUAACAAGAAGAGAUUUGAAAUGAAUACAUUCAAUGCUUGGAAUACGCAGCGUACAGCAAAAGUAAUGACAUUUAUCUGUAGUAUCUCUGAGGGAUGAAUUCAAAGCAUAUUUAUAAUGUAAAUGUAAAUUUGUUGAUGAUACAUAUUAAUACUGCA
rnacentral:lncRNA from 1 species